CGGUGUGACCCAGCAACCGUGCCCUGCCACUGCCCCGGUUUAUAAAAUGUCUCUGUCAUCCCGUGAUUGGCCCAUUCCAGGCAUGGAGGAGGUGGUGACCCCGGAUCACAGCCAAUCAGGUGUUUAGUGCCGGGUUGCCGGCUACUGCUUUCGUUUCGCAUUACGACGUAUUUGGAAAAGUAUGUGAACAUAGCAUGAGGCAUUUUCUGGCGCUUAAGUUACAAGAAAGAAAAGCCUUUCUUCAUUUGGGCGCAAAACUCUUAGGCAAGAGGUAAGAAGGUAACAUAGCCUUCCUAAUCAAAGUGUUUUUUGCCAUGCCUGAAACAAUGAAGGAAAAAAGGUGUCAAAUCAGGCUUCAUCUCCGCUCAGUGACAGGGAGGAUGAAGAAUACAUUGUUGGUAAAUUCUCGGUCUGAGAAGGUGAAGUUGGGUAUAAGCUGAUAGGGAUUGGUGUUUCAAACAACGGAAAUACUUGGGAGCCCAAGAAUAUCUUUAUUGUAAUAAUUUCAUCGCAGCAUUCGAAAGCAGAUGUCUACCGUUGAAUGAGAAUCCCGAAAACAAGCUAAGCCAAGAGAAGAAAAUUGUGAAGAAAGAAGAACUAAAGCACAGUCUUACAACAGGAUUUCAUCGAAUGUAGAGGUGGACACAAUUUUUGGAGUGAGCGAUGACGUUGAAGAAACUAUAUAGGCUGACCAGAAUUACAAACACAUUGUCGCAGCAGUCAUUCAGUGCUCAGAUUAAUUUGGCUUAGCAUAACAUUACUUCGGAAGCACGGGUCUGUUUUAAAUUCAUAAGUCAGUUUGAAAGGGAAGGUUAAGAUAACUUUGUUUUUGAAGUAAUUCCUUUCACGCUGAGUCAUUGUGUUCUUUUUUUUUCUAAACUUUAGAGAAUAUCACAAGUUGGGCGCCAAACAGUGACAUCUAGCGGAUGAAAAGUGAGGUAAGUUUUACGCCAAGCAAUGACAUCUAACGGGGGAAAAGUGAUAAAUUGUACGCCAAACACUGGCAUCUAACGGGGAAGAUGAGGUAAAUAGCACGCCAUCUAGUAGGAGAAACGUGAGGUAAAUGGCACGCCAUCUAGUGGCGGAAGUGAGGUAAAUGGUACGCCAUCUAGUGUUCAAUAAUACAGCUUGUAAUGAAUUAUGUCAAGUGAAAUUGUGACAGAAAAAUAAGGAUGUUAAAUCACGGUACAAACCUUUUUGUUUCACGGUUUGCAAGAAAAUGGCUCGGAAAUGGAAAUGAUGUCACUUCAAUCUUCAACAACCAUUUUUUUGGCAGCAGUAGAUAACUGCAAAUGGUAGUCCCUAAAUCAGAAGAAUUUUGUCCGACAUCUUUACUACGUGAACUUUAAAAGGCCUUGUUAUACCAAAGGGCGCCUAAUGGAGAAAUUGGGCUUCAUUAACGAUUCCAACUAAUUGAUUCUAACAGCUUCAUCUCCACUCAGUGACAUGGAUGAUGAAGAAUACAUUGUUGGGAAGUACUCGGUCUGAGCUUAGUAUGAACAUUUAUCUUAAUAUAGUAUGUUAAUAUAAAUUGACCAUCUUGUGAUUAUAAUGAAUCUGAAAUAUAUUAGG